GUGAAUAUUUGUAUUAGAACUAUUUCUUUUUCUUUCAUAUUUAAAUGGUUGCUGCAAAAAAUUAACAAUAGCAGCCCAUGACUGGAAAAAAUUUUGUAAAUGUCACCAUUUAACAAAGGCUUCGAUUGGCAUUUAUAUGAAUUAAUUAAAACGCAAAUAUCUUUUGCAGUCUUGUGGUCCAUCUAAAGGAAAGAAA